GAUGGCACCCCUGCACUCCAGCCUGGGUGACGCAGCGAGACCUGUAGAUAUAUAUAUAUAUUUUUAGGACCCAUUUUUCCUGUGUGUAGGAGAGCGACUGACUUGUCAAUUUUAAAAACAGUCAACUAAAACAAAACAAAACAAAAAAUGCACUUUAGUAUUGUGACCAGAUAUGGGGAAGAAGAUUAGUUCAAAAGAUAAGGAACUAUGACCCUGGAAGAGGAGUACAAGAACUAUGCAGACAAUGCCACUUGGAAGGAGGAUUGGAGAACACAUUUUGCAAAAUGCUGACAUAAAUCAUUCACCUGGGCACAGGACUGCUCAGAAGGCACUCUCGGCUCUCAAAAGGCAUUUCAGAUCUACUUUUUUGAAAUCAUCUGACUGGAUUUCGUUCAAGCCUUUGUUGCUGAAUCAGUUAUCAGUGUCUCCAGCCUUUCCAGUUGUAAUCUCCACAGGAGGUUAAAGCACAGCUAACAAAUGGUGCAGUCAAAGGGAGGCUCUGUCCCCAUGACCAGGCCAUGUCUCAGAGCAGCCACAAAUGACAGCAGGUCUCCAGAUCAGCAAUAUGCAGAAAGAGAAGCUGAUAGGGGUUGUGGAGAAAGGCUUCCAUCCCUCAGGGCAAAGGAAGCCAGAAGGUUGACAAAAGGACACUGUCUCGGUUGGCCUGAAGCAGAGGUGAAUUGAAUUGAGGAGGACACCUUGACAAGGAGAAAAAAAAAUCAAGUCACAGAUGGGGCGAUCUGGGAGGGCUGACAAAGACAGCCCCACAGUGUGAAGUCACACACAUUUCCUCAGGAAACCAUCUGUUUGAACAAGUACUGUCCGUCCAGUCUAGAUUGAUUUGUAGGAGAGAACUGCAGUCUGUUCCAUGCCUAGCCUGAGCCACGGCCUGUACUAC